rnacentral:rRNA from 1 species
UACGGAGGAUGCGAGCGUUAUCCGGAUUUAUUGGGUUUAAAGGGUGCGUAGGCGGGCGCUUAAGUCAGCGGUAAAAUUGCGGGGCUCAACCUCGUCGAGCCGUUGAAACUGGGUGCCUUGAGUGGGCGAGAAGUACGCGGAAUGCGUGGUGUAGCGGUGAAAUGCAUAGAUAUCACGCAGAACUCCGAUUGCGAAGGCAGCGUACCGGCGCCCUACUGACACUGAAGCACGAAGGCGUGGGUAUCGAACAGG